UUUAAAACGGCUCCUUUAAGGCCUGUGACUUUAUUAGCGAGAAGGACGUAUUCUCGUUUGUUUUGUCCCAAGGUUGCGAUAUCUUAUUUCUAAACUUACAUUUAAACAAGCUUAAAUGUGCUUCGACGAUUCUGAUUGGACCGCUGGGAAAAAUUGACACCAGGCCACUAGCUCAGCCACCUCCUUCCUGUACGCUGUCUCGUCCCCACCAGUGAUCAUUCCAACGACUGUAGUAUCAUGAGCAAACCUGAUGCUGGUGCUGUUCUGGGAGGCCACACAGUCAUAAGUGAAGUGUGUACAGAAGGGGACUCGGUACACAGCCCUGGGGGACCCCUGUGCUCACUGUUCUUGUGCUGGAUGUGCAGCUGCUGGCUCUGACUGACUGGGGUCUACCUGUUAGAAAGUUCAGCACCCAGGUACAGAUGGCGGGUGUCAGUCCGAGGGUGUGUGGGGGCUGUGUGGAGGGCAGCGUUCACUGCGUCAUCUGUGGACUUAUGCAAACUGAAGAGGGACUGUAGUGUUUGGAAUGGUCUCCUGGAUAUCUGAAGAAUAUAGUAGCAGCAGACAGAAAAACUAACCAGGAGCAACAGCCGUUGGAAGUGAGACGCAGAUUAGAUAGCCAAGGGCUACCCUCAGAUGACCGAGGCAGGCACAGUCAUGUUUUGGCUUUGGACAUCAGUGGAAGAUGAUGUCCAGGAAGACAUUGUGCAGCCCUGGAAGACGGUGGCAGCGACAAUUCAGAGUGCCGUGGAUCGGUCUUAGAGGCCAGAGGCAGGGGCAGUCUGGAUAGUCAAGAUUGGAAAUUUGAACCAGACUUGAAGCUGAUUUCACAAGAGAUCCGCAAGAGAGAGAGAGGGAGAGAGAAAUGCUGACGUUUUACAAAAGGCAUAUUUGCUGGGCUCGUCCAUUUUCAGUCAUCCUCAGGGGAACUGCUGACACACUCCAGCCACAUGAGGUCUAGCGUUGUCCUGCAUU